GGGGAAUUUUCCGCAAUGGGCGAAAGCCUGACGGAGCAAUACCGCGUGAGGGAGGAAGGCUCUUGGGUUGUAAACCUCUUUUCUCAAGGAAGAAAAAAAUGACGGUACUUGAGGAAUAAGCAUCGGCUAACUCCGUGCCAGCAGCCGCGGUAAUACGGAGGAUGCAAGCGUUAUCCGGAAUGAUUGGGCGUAAAGCGUCCGCAGGUGGCGAUGUAAGUCUGCUGUUAAAGAGUCUGGCUCAACCAGAUAAAGGCAGUGGAAACUACAUGGCUAGAGUGCGUUCGGGGCAGAGGGAAUUCCUGGUGUAGCGGUGAAAUGCGUAGAGAUCAGGAAGAACACCGGUGGCGAAAGCGCUCUGCUAGGCCGCAACUGACACUGAGGGACGAAAGCUAGGGGAGCGAAUGGGAUUAGAUACCCCAG
rnacentral:rRNA from 1 species